UACGAAGGGACCUAGCGUAGUUCGGAAUUACUGGGCUUAAAGAGUUCGUAGGUGGUUAAAAAAGUUGGUGGUGAAAUCCCAGAGCUUAACUCUGGAACUGCCAUCAAAACUUUUUAGCUAGAGUAUGAUAGAGGAAAGUAGAAUUUCUAGUGUAGAGGUGAAAUUCGUAGAUAUUAGAAAGAAUACCAAUUGCGAAGGCAGCUUUCUGGAUCAUUACUGACACUGAGGAACGAAAGCAUGGGUAGCGAAGAGG
rnacentral:rRNA from 1 species